CAGGAAAUAUGCCCGAAUUUAUUAAGGACUACUUUGAUAGAGUACGUAACAGGGGUUAAAAUCCCCUUAUUUCCUACCU
rnacentral:tRNA from 1 species